AUAUCGUUUUAUUUAUUAUAUUUUAUUUAUUAUAUCGGCUGUAUGAGCCUCGAGCGCCCCCUGUAGAAACACAUUUUCCUCUAUUUUAUCCCUCCGCCCCCCAGUGCUGAUGGCAAGGCGUUUGACAAACAUUUGCGUAAAUUUAUGUAAAUACAAAACGUCUAAUUUGUGAAAACCGAAAAGUAAUUCAGAUCAUUUACCUUAAUUAAACCACUUCCAGGAAAAUGGGGCUCUCAUUUCGGUAGCGGUGAAAACAUCAUUAGGCAGCUGUUGCAGUGACUAACCAGAGACGACCCUCUAAACUUAAACAUCAUUGAAUUGCGUAGGUACACGAUAACACGAACAGGAAUACAAAAACUAUGGACACGUCUGAUGAAGGGAGGAUGUCUCGUUUGAAAGAAUUUUUGCUAACUUUCUUCAUGCCAGAAAGAUGUUAUGACCAGUUUUUCCUUUACUUCAACUUUAUGCACGUUCCCUGUCUGAAGAUUGUCUUAAGUAAAACUAUGGGAAUAUUGAUUUUGGUGGGAAUUGUUAUUGCUCCACUCCCUCAGAUCUGGAAA